CAGCCGCCGCGGUAAUACGAAGGGUGCAAGCGUUAAUCGGAAUUACUGGGCGUAAAGCGUGCGUAGGCGGUUUGUUAAGUCUGCUGUGAAAUCCCCGGGCUCAACCUGGGAAUGGCAGUGGAUACUGGCAAGCUAGAGUGUGUCAGAGGAUGGUGGAAUUCCCGGUGUAGCGGUGAAAUGCGUAGAGAUCGAGAGGAACAUCAGUGGCGAAGGCGGCCAUCUGGGACAACACUGACGCUGAGGCACGAAAGCGUGGGGAGCAAACAGGAUUAGAUACCCCCGUAGUCCCUGUCUCUUAUAC
rnacentral:rRNA from 1 species